UACGUAGGGGCCGAGCGUUGUCCGGAGUUACUGGGCGUAAAGCGCGCGCAGGCGGUCGUUCAAGUCGCGUGUGAAAGCCCCCGGCUCAACUGGGGAGGGUCACGCGAUACUGAUCGACUCGAAGGCAGGAGAGGGAAGUGGAAUUCCCGGUGUAGUGGUGAAAUGCGUAGAUAUCGGGAGGAACACCAGUGGCGAAGGCGACUUCCUGGCCUGUUCUUGACGCUGAGGCGCGAAAGCUAGGGGAGCAAACGGG
rnacentral:rRNA from 1 species